CCUACGGGUGGCAGCAGUGGGGAAUAUUGGACAAUGGGGGCAACCCUGAUCCAGCCAUGCCGCGUGUGUGAAGAAGGCCCUCGGGUUGUAAAGCACUUUCAGUGAGGAAGAACGCCUGGUGGUUAAUACCCAUCAGGAAAGACAUCACUCACAGAAGAAGCACCGGCUAACUCCGUGCCAGCAGCCGCGGUAAUACGGAGGGUGCGAGCGUUAAUCGGAAUUACUGGGCGUAAAGCGCGCGUAGGUGGCUUGAUAAGCCGGUUGUGAAAGCCCCGGGCUCAACCUGGGAACGGCAUCCGGAACUGUCAAGCUAGAGUGCAGGAGAGGAAGGUAGAAUUCCCGGUGUAGCGGUGAAAUGCGUAGAGCUCGGGAGGAAUACCAGUGGCGAAGGCGGCCUUCUGGACUGACACUGACACUGAGGUGCGAAAGCGUGGGUAGCAAACAGGAUUAGAUACCCUAGUAGUC
rnacentral:rRNA from 1 species